rnacentral:rRNA from 1 species
UACGUAGGGGGCUAGCGUUGUCCGGAAUCAUUGGGCGUAAAGCGCGUGUAGGCGGUUCGGUAAGUCCGCUGUGAAAGUCGGGGGCUCAACCCUCGGAUGCCGGUGGAUACUGUCGGACUAGAGUGCGGAAGAGGCGAGUGGAAUUCCUGGUGUAGCGGUGAAAUGCGCAGAUAUCAGGAGGAACACCAGUGGCGAAGGCGACUACCUGGCCUGUUUCUUGACGCUGAGGCGCGAAAGCUAGGGGAGCAAACGGG